rnacentral:tRNA from 1 species
AAGAGAAUAUAAAGAAGCUGCUAACUAUCUUAUAUACAUUAAAUUUGUAAUUCUCUUA